AUGUGGACGGAUGGCGAGGUGGGAAUUGCUGUUUCUAGGUUCCCAUUGAUGCUGUCGAGGUCCAAAGAAUCACUGCAGCGUAGGUCUGAGUUCCUCAUCUCUGAGGUGGGCUUGGAACCGGCGUUCGUUGCUCAUCGACCCGUAAUGCUCGGUCACAGUCUAGAGGGCCGGCUCAGGCCCCGGUACUAUGUUGUGAAGUUUCUCAAGGAAAAUGGAUUGCUCAAGCGUGACCCAAACUACAGUACCGUUUUCAAGAUGAGUGAGAAGGUAUUCAGGAAGAAGUUCAUAUUCCCUCACAAGGAGGCUGCGCUGCACCUCGCAGAAGACUACGAUGCCGCUUGCAAGGGGGAAGUGCCGACUAAUUUCAGAUUCACAUAA
rnacentral:rRNA from 1 species